rnacentral:rRNA from 1 species
UGCCAGCCGCCGCGGUAAUACGAAGGGGGCUAGCGUUGUUCGGAAUUACUGGGCGUAAAGCGCAUGUAGGCGGACUUUUAAGUCAGAUGUGAAAUCCCAAGGCUCAACCGUGGAAGUGCAUUUGAAACUGGGAGGCUUGAGUAUUGGAGGGGGUGGUGGAAUUCCCGGUGUAGAGGUGAAAUUCGUAGAUAUCGGGAGGAAUACCGGUGGCGAAGGCGACCACCUGGACGGUGACUGACGCUGAGACGCGAAAGCGUGGGGAGCGAACAGGAUUAGAUA